rnacentral:lncRNA from 1 species
ACACCUGAAACCAUAAAAGUCCUAAAGGAAAACACACAAGAAAAACUCUAUGACAUUGGCCUUGGCAGUGAUGUUUUGGAUAUUUCAAGUUAACUCGUCAUUCACUGACUCCACAUAAAAUCCAUCCCUCAAAUAUUCUCAGAACCUAUCACCAAGACUGUGAUCACUUCUUUGGGAUGCUUUAAAGUUAAUUAGGAAAAAUAAAACUGGGUUUUACCUUUGAAAAACUUUCUAACUGUACUGAUGUGCUCAAAUAGAUGGACACAUGAAUGAAAAAUCCAGAAUUUAUUCUUUCCAUGUGGUCUAGGUCCCUCCAUAUGUUUCUCUGGAUUUUGCCAUUCACUGAAUGCACACGAACACUGAAUUUACUCUCUAUUGCUGUGUAACAAGUUAUUGUAAAAUGUAUUGGCUUAAAACAACAAAUACCAUUUUUGCAGCUUCUGUGGAUCAGGAAUCAUGAAGCAGCUUAGUCGGGUAUUUCAGGCUCAGGGCCUCUCAUGAGGUUGCACUGUAGAUGUGAGCCAAGGCUGCCGUCAUCUGAAGACUGGACUAGGGAUGGAAGCUCUGCAUUUGGGAUCAUACUCAUGGCUGUGGCCCGGAGGCCUCAUUUUUUCACCCUUGGGCCUCUCCGUGGGGCUGCUGCCAACAGGGCCUCCCUAGAAGGAAUGACCCAAGAAGAAGAAAGAAAGACCAAGCUAGAAACCACCGUGUCUUUCAUAACCCAAUAUCAGGAAUGAAGAAGCACCUCUUCUGUGUUCUUUUGGUCUCGCAGACCAACCCUGGUACCAUGUGGAAGGAAAUUACACAAGAGUGUGACUAUCAGGAAUUGAGGAUCACUGGGGCACCUGGAGGCUGGAGUCUACAGGUACUUUAUGGCGAGUCAUGGCGAUGGUGAGGAAGCAGCUACUUUCAUCACAGGUAAAAACUGAUACACAAAACACACAAACAGAGAGGAGCCCUAUAUUUCUGCUUCUCCUUCAGGGUGAAUAGCAGCCACCAUUCACCCUACCAGAGAGAUGUUCUUUAUUUUUUUAUUGCUGGCUGGAUCUUAGGCAAAAUAAGCCUCUCCUGUUUCCCCAGUUGAGGACAAUUGAGAAAGGCUUAUGUUUGCCAAAGAAUAUCUCAUGCUAGCAACAAAACUUUUAAGGAAAUAAUUACAGAAAGCACACAACACCCUACAGUGAGCAGAACGCAGCUCCUUCCCUCCACCCACCUCCCCACUACAGAGAAUGAUCCAGCCCAAUGCCAAAAGCACUGAAGCCGGGAACCCUGACUGAGAUCUCAGCUUCAAUGCUCCUUCCUCAGAGACCUUUCUGUCCCUGACCUUUCUGAGGAGUAUACCCUCUUUUUAUGGGCCCUCAAAACCCCCUCCCUGUGGCAUUUGUUUUAGUUAACAAUUCUACACUUAUGCAUGUGAAUUUGUGAUUAGCAUCCAUCUCCCCCAUCACAGUUAUGAGGGCGAGAGCUAGUUUCCUCCCUGUUGUGCAGGGCACAUAGCACAACGCCUGGCCCCGUAGUCAGGCUCACUAAAUAUUUGCUGAAAGUAGAAAUGAAUAAACAGGACUGUAGCUUCUAGGGGCUUCUGUGGGAGCCAGUAUCGCCAUUCAUACCUGGGGAUUAUGGGAUAUUUUCAACAAAAACAUGCACUUUGCACAAAGUGAAAGUCAGAGCCUGGAGCCUGUGCAAACGGUGCCUUGAGCAGCUCUACGGCGAGUGUGAGGAUGCAGUCAGGGGUCCUUCAGCAGGAGCCGGGGCAUCCUGCAGAACACAGGGCCGGGAUCUUCAGAUGUGCAGCAGGGAGGGGGCUUGGCACAGCCCCAUGAGUUUGAGAAGCUUGAGGCAUUAAGGUGAGUUUCUUGUGGUGCAGCGCGCCAGCAGUGAAGGGAAGUGGUUCUCUCUCCCCUCAUGCACAGACACGCACAAUGUCCAGGAUCCAGGCAGAGAAGCUUCAUCAAAGUUGUCUGUGUUUUGCCGCAGCCGAAUAAAAGCUGUAGGCUUUUCUAAGAAGGGUUAUAAAAGGGAGCAGCCGUGAAGCCCGUGGACAAGUCAUCAAUUACAGCAAUUACAGUAGCACCAUAACCUUCCCAGGCUUGCUGGAGGGAGGUUGCUGUGGCCACAGGAGGUGCACCGCGGAUUACAGGACUAAAGGCCUUCUCUGCUUCUUCACAGUGAUCCAUCUCUGCCCAGCACCCAAGUACUGAGUUAACCUACAACGUGGUUCAGAAUUAAAACAUAAAAUGCCAGGGCCCUCCCCCAGUUAGCAGUAUUGGUUGGAAACAUGUUUAGCAGUGAGUAACAGAAGUCCCAAGAAAUAAUGGCUAAAACAAACAAGAGUAUGUGUCUUCACAUAGUAAGGUAUCAAGAGGUGGCUGUCACUUUAAGUUCACUUUCUCAUGGAUGCCAUCAAACACCAGGUUUAUUCAACCUUCAUGCACUGCCAUCACCUUCCCAUCCACGGACUCUUCCGACAUCUGCUGAACGUCAUCACAAGGGGGCUGCCAUAGCUCCACCCGUUGUAUCAGCAUUCAGGGAAGGAGGACAGUGCCAACAAUAUGUCUGCUCAUUUUUUUAAGAGAGGAAAAGACUCUCCUGGAAGUCCACGGCAGCAUUAUGCUUACUUCUUACUUGCCAGAACUUUGUCAUAUGGUCAGACUUUAAAGCAGAGAGGCCUUUGCUGUCAGUGGAAUACAGCAACACACAAGACAGACACAGUUGCCUUCCCGCUGAGGCUGGACGUCUACAAAGAAACUCUGGACAGCUAUUUGCCAAGGCGAUGGGCACUACAGAUGAGACGCACAAAUGAUAUGACUCAUGGGUGACGCUGGGCAAACCUCGGUGGUUGAGUCCUGUUGGGUUUUCUCAUAGGAGGUGCUUCCAGGAACAUUCUUGUGCAAGACCGUGUGAGAGUAUCUCCAAGAUAGACAAGUGGAAGUGAAAUUCUGGGCCAUAGUGGAUGAACACUUGCCAAGAGGUGUUGACAAAUUAGUCUUAAAUGAACCUGUACUGCAUUUUAAGGCCUGGGAGCUCUUAGUGGCCCCAUCCUUUCCAAAGCUUGUGUGGUUGGCCGAGUAAUGUCUUCCAAGAUGUCCAAUUCCCAAUCCCUGGAACUUCUGAAUGCUAGCCUGUAUGACAAAAGAGACUCUGAAGCUGGGAUUAAGUUAAGAAUCUUGAGUGGGGAGAUUAUCCUGGAUAAUCCAAAUGGGUCCUUAUAAGAAAGAGGCAUGAGAUCAGAGAACCAGAAGGUGAUGUGAGGAUGGAAUCUAAGAGAGAGUUGAGGAUGCUGUGGCUGCUGGCUUUGAAGGUGCAGGAAGGGCCAUGAGCCAAGGAAUGUGAGAAAUGGAGCUGGAGUUGCCAGAAAAGGCAAGAACAGGGAAUCUUCCUGAGAGGCUGCAGAAGGAGCCAGCUGUGCAACACCUUGACUUUAGCCCAGCGAGACUGUUUUCCAACUUCUGAGCUCCAAAACUAAAUUGGAGGCAGAAGGUUACCAACAUUGCCUGGUGUCCAGCCAGGAGGUAGAGCGUGGUGGCAUCCAGAACCUUCCUCCAACUCCUGCCUGGCGUGGUUUUUAUUCAUCUUUGUAUUCCCAAGAAACUUCUCAGUGUCUCAGGAGUGUUAGGCACUCAAGCUUUCCAAGGUGAAAGUGUUGGACACUCUUUCUUCAUCUCAGAUUUAAUCAACUAAGAAUGCUGCAAAUUGAACACCAGUCCACAAAACUCAGGAAUACAUGAAAAGCAUUGUGCCUUAUUUUUAACUAACUCAAAUUCUAUGUCAGUCUCCCUUUUAUGCUGGAUGUUGGCGCUAAAUCUCAGUGGGUUCCUCAUUCUGCCAGACCUGUGUCCAGUUUGGGGGCUUCACAUAGAGCCACCCCAUCACAGGAGAGGGAAGGGUCUUGCUCUUGGUUGCCAUCACUCCACCCUCUUGUCUUCCGAGCUUUGAUGUUCACUUUCCUUUUCACCACUCGGAAGCUUCCUGCCAUGAUACAUUGAGACCUCAAUGUUAAUGCCAAUUGGGGUUUGGGGUUCUCAUAAACUCAGAAGUCCAGGAAAAUCGCCUGCUGCCUCCCACAACACUCUGAGGGCAUUCUGGAAUCCUACCACUUACCUGGAGCCUGCUGGCCUCAACUGUUUUGAAGUCUGUGUCUGGGCCAUGCAGGUAAAUGGGAGGAUGUUCUGUGGCCAUAAAAAUACCCGAAGUCCCACCUAAAGUUGAUGCAGGGUCUUCUGCAUUUCAUUGCAAAAUUGUUCUAUCAUUUCUAUAGUUUUCAGCCUACAGUCAGGGGCCAGGACUUUGCACCCUUGGUAAACCUCAAUCUCUUCUCCUUCCUGGCUUCUACUCCUUUCUCCCUCAAUCCCAAAUCAAGGCCCUUGAUUGUCUGGAGGUAGGAAAGCCUGGUUCUGGCUCAUGAUAUAGUCUACAUCAUAGCCUUUGUCAUCUCAUGGAUUCACUCAACAACCGUGUGUGGAUGGGGCCACCCAAUAUGUGCCAGGAGUUGAGGACACGCAGGGUUAUGAUGAUGAAAUAGAUAAGGGGCCCACACUCACGGACCCUGCAGGACAGUGGAGCUGUGGACCCAGCAUGCGAGUAAAGACCCAGUGAGCUCACCAGACAGAUCAUUUAAAUCAGGUGAUAGGACAGUGAAGGGCGGGGGCUGCAUUAGUUUUGGUGGCAAGAGAAGGAUUAUCUUCUGAGAGGAUCCACAAAGUAAAGAGGGCCGGUAUGACUGGGUAGAGUGAGGACCGUGGUUGAGGCAGAAGAUGGAGCUCUUUAUUGAGCUCUAGGGAGCCCGUCGGAUGGGACCUACGGGGCUUGAGGGAGCCCAUCGGAUGGGACCUACGGGGCUUGAGGGAGCCCAUCGGAUGGGACCUACGGGGCUUGAGGGAGCCCAUCGGAUGGGACCUACGGGGCUUGAGGGAGCCCAUAGGAUGGGACCUACGGGGCUUGGCGGACUUAAUUUUAAAUGUGGAAGAAGCCAUUGCAGAGCCUGAACCUGAGGUGUGGCAUGGUUCGAGUUACUUCAAACCAAAUUUAUUGAAAUCUCUUUGCAUAAAAUGCAAUGCGUAGAUCUUAAGAGUAUAGUUCAAUGAGAUUUGAUAAAUGUAUGCACCAGUGUAACAACUCCUCCAGUCAAGAUAAAGAAACGUCCCUCACUAUUUCCUCAUGCCCCUUCAUAGUCAAUAUCUGAUCCACUCAGCCUAGGCAACCAUUGAUCUGCUUUUAUCACCAUAGAUAUUUGGGUAUGAGUCUUUGUAUGAUCAGCUAUUUUUAUGUUGCUUGGGUAAAUAUUUAGGAAUAGAACUGCUGAGGCCAAGGAUAGAAUAUUUAACUUGAUUGCCGACUGUUUUUCCCAAGUGGUUGUACCACGUUCUGCCUCCACCAGCAUGUGUGAGUUUCCAGGGCUUCUUGUCCUUGCCAGAUACCAGGUGGUUGCAUGCCGUGUCCCAGUGGCUGUUGGGAAUCACAGUAGCUGGGCCCAAGAUGACUCUGGAGGACUUUACAUUUGCGCCCAUCUGUGGGUCCUCCUAUGCCAGUGUUUCCCAAAGCAUGGGCCAUGCGCAUUAUUCUUUCCAAAAUGAUGUCAUAUGGUGCAUAGGAAUGUCAUGGAAUACAAUGGAAUCACUCUGGAAGGAACUUUUCCCUUCUCAGGUGUUGUUUGAAUAUUCCUGAUGUGAUCGAGGAGAUUAACUGCUACUUAACAUCUCUGCACCGCUUGCUAAACUCCUUGUUAAAAUUAUGCUUUUUAUUUUGAAGGAGUUCUAGAUUCACAUGCGUUGUAAGAAAUAACAGAGAGAUUGCAUGUACUCUUCACCCAGUUUCUCCCAAUGGUAACAUCUUGCGAAACUAUGGUGCAAAAUCAAAACCAAAUCUCUUUUUAUAACAAAGAGAGGGUUCCCACCUCAAGCUCAGAUCCUUCCCUGUGUAGCUAGAACUUAGUAACAGUGUUUUAUUUUAUUAUAUUCAGUUUCAAGGGUUACAUUCUAUUUAUAACAAAUGA